UAGGGAAUCUUCGGCAAUGGGGGCAACCCUGACCGAGCAACGCCGCGUGAGUGAAGAAGGUUUUCGGAUCGUAAAGCUCUGUUGUAAGUCAAGAACGAGUGUGAGAGUGGAAAGUUCACACUGUGACGGUAGCUUACCAGAAAGGGACGGCUAACUACGUGCCAGCAGCCGCGGUAAUACGUAGGUCCCGAGCGUUGUCCGGAUUUAUUGGGCGUAAAGCGAGCGCAGGCGGUUUGAUAAGUCUGAAGUUAAAGGCUGUGGCUCAACCAUAGUUCGCUUUGGAAACUGUCAAACUUGAGUGCAGAAGGGGAGAGUGGAAUUCCAUGUGUAGCGGUGAAAUGCGUAGAUAUAUGGAGGAACACCGGUGGCGAAAGCGGCUCUCUGGUCUGUAACUGACGCUGAGGCUCGAAAGCGUGGGGAGCGAACAGGAUUAGAUACCCUGGUAGUCCACGCCGUAACGAUGAGUGCUAGGUGUUGGAUCCUUUCCGGGAUUCAGUGCCACAGCUAACGCAUUAAGCACUCCGCCUGGGGAGUACGACCGCAAGGUU
rnacentral:rRNA from 1 species